rnacentral:rRNA from 1 species
UUAAAGGAAUUGACGGGGCCGCACAAGCGGAGGAACAUGUGGUUUAAUUCGAUGAUACGCGAGGAACCUUACCUGGGCUUAAAUGGGAGUGACAGCUGUCGAAAGAUGGUUUUCUUCGGACACUCUUCAAGGUGCUGCAUGGUUGUCGUCAGCCCGUGCCGUGAGGUGUCGGGUUAAGUCCCAUAACGAGCGCAACCCUUGCCGUUAGUUACCAUCAGGUUAAGCUGGGGACUCUAGCAGGACUGCCACCGUAAGGUGAGAGGAAGGUGGGGAUGACGUCAAAUCAGCACGGCCCUUAUGUCCAGGGCUACACACGUGUUACAAUGGCCAGUACAAAGGGCAGCUACCGGGUGACCGGAUGCUAAUCUCUAAAGCUGGUCUCAGUUCGGAUCGAAGUCUGCAACCCGACUUCGUGAAGCUGGAUUCGCUAGUAAUCGCAGAUCAGCAACGCUGCGGUGAAUACGUUCCCGGGCCUU